rnacentral:lncRNA from 1 species
CUAAAAUGAGACUGGUGAGGAUGGAAAUCUUUCCUUUUUCCCUGAGAUUGAUAUGUCUGUUAACUUAGCAAAGUAUUAAGUAAGGCAGGGGAAGGCACUGCUGCCGUUUGCAAGGUCAAGGUCUUCUCAUUUGGUUGGAUCUGGCUUCCACUCCCUACUUACUGAUAAGGGGUGGCUAUGGGGGGUUUCCCUUGAUAUGUCCUUGCCUCGGCGGAGGCAUGGUUGUAAGCAUGUGUCAUCAUC